rnacentral:lncRNA from 1 species
UCAUAUUGUACUAGAUUAGGGUUUAUUUUGGACAGAGUUUGUUUUGAAACUCCAAUGGAAAGUAUUUUUAAUAUUUUAUAAUGCCUUACUAUUUUUUGAUAGUCUUUACCUCCAAAUAAUAACUCUCAUUUCUCUUUUUCACCAUCAGAGAUCAUAGUGAGCAUUUCUUUUAAACGCAUGUUCAGGAUCAUGACCAGUGAAUUUGUGGCACUUUUCCUCUUCUUGGAUGCCAAAUGUCUUCAAAGCCUUUUCUCUGUUUAUUGGUUCUCUUUUGUAUUCUGCUUGAAAUAUUGGAAACUCCACUUCUUACAUGUUAUAGUUUUUAGCAGGGGUCUUCAUCGCUGGGCUAAUAAUUAGAUCUAGUCCACAUCACACCUAGCCACCUGUAAGGUGGAAGGGGUACCUCCAUGUGUGUGCUAUGGCACACGUGUCCACUCACACAUCAUAAGCAUGCAUGAAUGCAUGCACAAACAAAAUUAGGGACUAUUAAAAUGGCUUUUCAAUAAAAUAAAUUCUGAUACUUGAUGUCUUACUACUGUAGUGUCUUCUAAAGUAUUUUAAAAAGGGGGAAAUGGCGGAUGCCAAAGUCUUGAUUUAAGUAUUCUGAUAGUUUCAUGUAACUGUACAUUUAUGUUUUUCCCAUUGAUUCUUUCCUGAUCAACAUAGUGAAUACAUUUAGAGAUGAGCUAAUUUUGUGACAAAAUGUGUACUUGUAGAGUGGUACUUACUUCUUCAUAGUAUUACAAAUAGUUCUGCUGUGUACUUCGGUCUGUGGGAUGGGUAAAAUGUGGGUAAGAAAUGUCCAAAAUGAGCUUGGUGUGAUGGUACACACCCCUAGUGCCAGCACCUGGGAGGCUGAGGUGCAAGGGCCAAGAAUGAAAACCAGCCUGAGCUCCCAGCUAGAAACAGGAAGGAAAGAUGCGGAAAGGGAGCGUCAAGGGAGUGCACAUCCAAUAGGGAAGUGCUUCCCGUGCCUACGUGGCCCAGGAGCAUCCUGGAGGGAAAGGGCAACAGUUUGAGUAUGCAGAGGCAGGUAUGCAAGGCACAGUGGCAGAGGGGCCAGUGCGCAUUACGUAGACUAGGCCUAUGCCAGGAGUGUAAACUGUCAGUAUGGGAUACACUGGGAAGUGCAGUUAUGAGAGUUAUAGAGAGCCUUGUCCAUGUUACACCAGAGAGUAUUUGGCUUACUCUGAAGACACUGCCAUGCUGCUGAAGAAAUGUUGACUAGAAGAGAAGUGGAUAGUGACAGAGAAGGUCACUCAGUGCUACAAGUUAAAAGUAAGGCAGAUACCUGCUAGGAAAACUUUGAAGGCCUUUCACUGUAGUUAUUAAUAUUUGAUAUAAAGCAGUGGUUCUCAAAUGCUUUGUAAUGCUACAACCCUUUAGUAAAAUUUCUCAUGUUGUGGUGACCCAACCAUACAAUUAUUUUCAUUGCUACUUCAUAACUGUAAUUUUGCUACUGUUAUGAACUCUAAUGUAAACAUAUGUGUUUUCUAAUGGUUUUAGGCAACCCUUAUGAAAGGACCCAACCCCCAAAGGGUUGUGACUCAUAGAGAAUGAAAGCAAUGGCUAAGACAUAAUGCCUAAAACUUGAGUCUUGAAGUCGGCAGAUGCAAGGGUAGAUUUGUUACCUGGAUGGUUGUGAUUGAUUGAUUGAUUGCUUAACUGAGGGCAUAUUGAAACAGAAACAUAUGACCAUGGAAUUGCUCAAGAGGUUGAGGGGAUCAAAUGUGUGUUACUCCAGAAUGGAUUAAUACCUGAACUAUUCCAAAGGAUAAGGAAAAAAAUACCAAUUCCCAAACUAUGUAGUUUUGUUAACUAUUUUCUACAAAAAUAUGCUUGCUUAACAUUUGCAAUUGUUUUGUAACAUGAUACUUAAAAUAAAAUAAAAAAUUAGCUAAAC